rnacentral:rRNA from 1 species
UACAGAGGGUGCAAGCGUUGUUCGGAAUUAUUGGGCGUAAAGCGCGUGUAGGCGGCUUUGCAAGUCGGGUGUGAAAGCCCUCAGCUCAACUGAGGAAGUGCGCCCGAAACUGCAGAGCUUGAGUACCGGAGAGGAUGGCGGAAUUCCCAAGUAGAGGUGAAAUUCGUAGAUAUGGGGAGGAACACCGGUGGCGAAGGCGGCCAUCUGGACGGAUACUGACGCUGAGACGCGAAAGCGUGGGUAGCAAACAGG